rnacentral:rRNA from 1 species
AGAGUUUGAUCCUGGCUCAGGAUGAACGCUAGCGGGAGGCCUAAUACAUGCAAGUCGAACGGCAGCGGAGACUUUCUUCGGAAUGUCUGCCGGCGAGUGGCGCACGGGUGAGUAACGCGUACGCAACCUACCUUCAAGAGAGGGAUAGCCCUGGGAAACCGGGAUUAAUACUUCAUAGCUUUCACUGAUCGCAUGAGAGGUGGAAUAAAGCUGAGGCGCUUGAAGAUGGGCGUGAGUGCUAUUAGCUAGUUGGUGAGGUAACGGCUCACCAAGGCGACGAUAGCUAGGGGGCGUGAGAGCGUGACCCCCCACACGGGUACUGAGACACGGACCCGACUCCUACGGGAGGCAGC